GACAAGCUGCUGGAAGCCUUUUUUCCACACUGUUGGACUCAACUUUUUAGCUCCACUAGAGGGCGACAUUAUCAAGUAGGCGGUGCACUACUUCUGCACUGUGUUCAACCAUUCUGUCAAUAAUAACUGCUGCUGUGAAGAGAACAAUUGUCACACUGAAUGUUGAACAUCAGCUAGUUUCUCCUGUUGAUUUAAACCUUGUUGUAGAGAUGGAACAUUGGCUGUGGAUUAUUCUUGCUGCUCUUUUCUUUGGACUAAUAGCUGGAGACACAAUCUCUCCUGUAGGAGAUAAAGUCAGUGGAAGAGAAGGAGAAUCUGUCACACUCAAAUGUCGAUAUCAGACAACUGUCAGCUAUAUUUGGCUUUACUGGUACAGACAUUCUGACCUUCAGGCUCCUCAGUUUAUACUCUUGAAAGGAGCAAAAGGAUAUUCAGCUGAAUACAUUCCAGAUAAACGAUAUGAAUCUGAAACAACAGGUUCAUCAACUGACCUGACCAUCAGAAAACUAACCCUGGCAGACACAGCUCUCUACUACUGUGCUCUAGAAACACAGUGAUACAAAGUGUAGAAGAGGCUGUACAAAAACCUGAACACAGAUAUCUGACUACUCUUCAAAGAGGAGGGAAGUGGUAUUCAAACCACAGCUUCAUAUCAGAUGGAUUCUGCUAAUUCCUGUUUUAUCAGAGUCACUGUGGUUACAGCUGCUAAUGAAACACUGUGGGAGGAUUCACAUGAGCAGCAAAUCCACAUCAAUGACAAACCAACUGGAUGAUGCUUCAAACACAAGACCAUUUUACAGACUAAAAGACUUUUCAACGAUUAAAGUUUUGUUAGUUGCAGCUUUAAUCAUGUUUUCUGUUCCAAGAUUUCUUUAAACAUGUUUUACACUCACAACAGUUAGAAUGUCUGUACAGUGUGCAGUUUGGAUGUUACAGGAAGUUGUUUCUCUACAGAUGAUUCAGUUGAGUUUUCUGCAGAUUCCUCCUUCAGUCUGACCUUCUUGGAUGAUGAGGAUUUCAGCAUCACUGUCAUUUCUAAAGCUUCCAUCAGCCUGAAUGCAAACAGACCACAGCAAGAGGAGGAGCUACACAAUUCAUUUUGGAAGUGAAGAGCUGCUGUGUUCUCUCUGUUGUUCAUUCAGUACAAGUGGAAAUAAUGCAGCUCUCUUUAGUUUGGAUGAUGAUCUUCAUCUUUCAUACUGGAUCCUCUGAGGAUUUAGUGAAACCAUUUAAAGAUGUAAUGCUGGCUUUGGAAGGAGACACUGUGACUCUCUCCUGCAAAUAUUCAGAUUCUGUCAGCAACGUUUUCUGGUAUCAACAGAAGUCCAGUUCACCUCCACAGCUUCUCAUCAUGGAAUAUUCAGAGAAAAUAGCAAGGUUGUCUUUAACACAUGACAAAAAUUCAAAGGAGUUUCAUCUGGAGAUCUCCUCUGCUGCAGUGACAGACUCUGCUGUGUACUACUGUGCUGUGAAGCCCACAGUGACAGGAAACACCAAAACUCUGUACAAAAACCUGACAGCUCCUCACUGAAGAUUUACACACUCCAGCUUCUGCUUUUACUGAACAACAGCCCCAUCAAGUGGACACUGAUAAUAAGAUCCAGUGAUAAAAUAAAUAGUUAUUCAGUUAACAGUCUGUCUUAAAACAACAUUCACAUGUUCAUAUGUACAUUAAAACAUGAUUCUUUC